rnacentral:tRNA from 1 species
CUACUUAUUAGGAGGGGACUCUGCUCUCUUACAUAGAGCGGUCGGCUGACUGGUCGUAGGUUCAAAUCCUACUUAAGAAGA